GAGGAAUAUUGGUCAAUGGGCGAAAGCCUGAACCAGCCAUGUCGCGUGCAGGAAGACGGCCCUAUGGGUUGUAAACUGCUUUUGUAUGGGAAGAAACGACGGUACGAGUACUGUUUUGCCGGUACCAUACGAAUAAGGAUCGGCUAACUCCGUGCCAGCAGCCGCGGUAAUACGGAGGAUCCAAGCGUUAUCCGGAUUUAUUGGGUUUAAAGGGUGCGUAGGCGGGAGAUUAAGUCAGUGGUGAAAGUUUGCGGCUCAACCGUAAAAUUGCCAUUGAUACUGGUUUUCUUGAGUACAGUUGAGGUAGGCGGAAUGUGGUGUGUAGCGGUGAAAUGCUUAGAUAUACCACAGAACACCGAUUGCGAAGGCAGCUUACUAAGUUGUGACUGACGCUGAAGCACGAAAGCAUGGGGAUCAAAC
rnacentral:rRNA from 1 species